CGCUGGCGGCGUGCCUAACACAUGCAAGUCGAGCGGGGACAUUUGGAGCUUGCUUUAAAAUGUUCGAGCGGCGGACGGGUGAGUAACGCGUGAGCAAUCUGUCCCGGACAGGGGGGAUAACAGAUGGAAACAUCUGCUAAUACCGCAUAAGACCACGACGUCACAUGACGUUGAGGUAAAAGGAGCAAUCCAGUCUGGGGUGAGCUCGCGUCCGAUUAGCCAGUUGGCGGGGUAACGGCCCACCAAAGCGACGAUCGGUAGCCGGCCUGAGAGGGCGAUCGGCCACAUUGGAACUGAGAGACGGUCCAAACUCCUACGGGAGGCAGCAGUGGGGAAUAUUGGGCAAUGGGCGAAAGCCUGACCCAGCAACGCCGCGUGAGGGAAGAAGGUUUUCGGAUUGUAAACCUCUGUCCUUGGUGACGAAGGAAGUGACGGUAGCCAAGGAGGAAGCCCCGGCUAACUACGUGCCAGCCGCCGC
rnacentral:rRNA from 1 species